CGUAACACUUACUGUACCACUGGAGUAAUGAUGCUUAAAAACUCACAUUUGCAUUGCAUGAAUAAAUUCGUUUUACAUUGCAGUAAUAUUUCAAAAUAUUGCUGUUUAUGUAUUUUUGAUCAAAUUAAUGCAGCCUUGAUGAGCACAAUAAACUACUUUAAAGAAAUAUGAAAAAUCUUACCUAUCGCAAACAUUUGAAUUUUAGGUUGAAUUAUUCUUAUGAACAACCACAAAAUUUAUUUAUUUUCAGUAUGAACAAUUGAGACAUACAGAAAAUGUAAUUUCAUCACUGCAAAGUCUGAAUCAUGGCACGUGAUGAGACAUUCUGCUCUACAUCCAGGCCUGUGUUUGAUAGCCCACCCAUCCGACGGCUGCCAGCUCUGUAAACAUUUACUCAUGCUAUUAACACAGACCACUGAAUUCAGCACUGUCUGACCACAUAUUACAUAGCAGCUAUAGUUAGAAUAUAAUGUCUGACUUGUACCACUGCUGGGAAGCAUUGUAACAUACACAACCAGUUCAUGACUCAUUGUAAACAACACAGAAACAAAUAUACAACAGGGACGGGACAUAUUAAGGCUCUUUGAUAUAUGAACCGGGCUCCAUGUCAAAUAAAACCUCCGUUUACAGAUCCAAGAACUGAGAACACAUUGGCUGCUGUCCCAUUCCCAUGUGUUGAGCACAAAAUAAGCUGUGAGAUAUGUUUAGGAUGUGGAUUAUAAUGCUGUGAUAAUUACAGGAAUCUGCAGGCGGAUGACGGCACAUCUCAGUCACUUCAUAGUUUGCUUCUAUGUCUAAAUUAAGAUCUGAUGAGUCAGAGAGACUGUUAGAGGAGACCUGUUAACAUCGAAAGUGUGUGUGCCAGGGUUGACUGCAGUGGCCUUCAGAGUGGGCACAGGGUUUUUUGAUGGGAUUUACAGUGAACUGCAGGUGUCGUGGCCCUGUGGGCUGUAUGGUACUAUUGUGAGAGGAACAAUGGCGCAGAAAAGCUUGGGAACCGCUGCUUUGCUUUGUUCUCGUGUAUUGUCUGUUCCCAGGAUGUCCUUCAGGAAAAUGACAAAAAAGGUCAAGCAACUGACACUCUACAUUACCUUGCCAAGAUGAUGAAAUGAUUGGCAGGGGAAGACAAAGGAAUAUCUUGAUUGUUUAAUCUCAAGAUUUAUGAACGGAAAUGAUGCUUUUCACUCGUCAAAGCUAUUUAUGACUGUGACCGUUGCAUGUUGAGGAAGGCAAUUACAACAGGAUGUGACCCGUGUCCACGUUUACAGUUCUCAAAGCAGGGCAGAGAGAAGCUCAAAUGAAUCAAAACAGUCCUCCCCAGUAACAAGUGCCUGAAACCAAAGCGCAGAGACUGGGACUGGGGUCAGAGGUCAGAUGUUACAGUAAACAAAUUUGAGAAGCUCAUUAUGAAAGAAAAUGAUGAAACAUCAACUUCUGAGAACAGCUGACGGCACACAUUUCUCAGCAUUUUAGCACGGGAUGUGUUUGGCUGUUUUUUGACCAAUUUAAUAAUUAAAUUAAUAAAUUCA